GUUGCCAGCAUUUAGUUGGGCACUCUAAGGGGACUGCCGGUGAUAAGCCGAGAGAAGGUGGGGAUGACGUCAAGUCCUCAUGGCCCUUACGGGCUGGGCUACACACGUGCUACGAUGGUGGUGACAGUGGGCAGCGAGCACGCGAGUGUGAGCUAAUCUCCAAAAGCCAUCUCAGUUCGGAUUGCACUCUGCAACUCGAGUGCAUGAAGUUGGAAUCGCUAGUAAUCGCGGAUCAGCAUGCCGCGGUGAAUACGUUCCCGGGCCUU
rnacentral:rRNA from 1 species